rnacentral:rRNA from 1 species
GACGGGGGGUCCAAGCGUUGUUCGGAAUCAUUGGGCGUAAAGCGUGUGCAGGUGGUCUUGCAAGUUAGGUGUGAAAUCCCCGGGCUCAACUCGGGAAGUGCACUUAAAACUACAAGACUUGAGUAAGGAAGAGGGUCGUGGAAUUCCAGGUGUAGUGGUGAAAUACGUAGAUAUCUGGAGGAACACCGGUGGCGAAGGCGGCGACCUGGUCCUAUACUGACACUCAUACACGAAAGCGUGGGGAGCAAACAGG